GUUUCCUUGUCCCAGAAAGUGAUUCCUGUGAGGAAUCUGUUUAUCUUCUCUUCUUCAGCCCAUCCAACUGCUGGAACCAGGGCAAGAAAUUUUCUGUCCACUAUCCAAGAGGUGAACAUUCCCAGCUCUCCCGUAGCAGAGACUGCACCAGUUCCUCAAGGCUCAGCACUUACUAAUUAGAAGAUGAAGUAAAUAAUUGCUGCAGAGUGAAGGUUUGGAUGCAGAUAAACGUGUAAAGGUGCCAAGAACAAACUAAUUGAAACAGAAUUACAUCAAACAUUUGCCUCAUCAGUGUUUGCUUUGUGAGCCCUGGCAGAGAGGGGAUGUCGAAUAUCUUGCAGGGAAACACCGGGACCAAGAAACGAUCCGAGCCUCCAAGUGCCUUAGCACUUCAAAAUGUCAUUAAAAGUCACUCCAGGAGAUAAGGAUUAAAUAAAUAUAUAUCCUGGCUCGCUGUGGGAUGUGCAUGGAGCUGUGCAUUUAUCAUCUCCUACACCUCAAUUCAGGGGGACAGUACCAUUUUCAACCUGGGGAAUUCGG